rnacentral:rRNA from 1 species
AAUGUUCAGACUAGCAUGCAUGUCUAAGUAUAAAUGAUAUACAGUGAAACUGCGAAUGGCUCAUUAAAACAGUUAUAGUUUAUUUGGUAAUCGAAUUUACAUGGAUAACCGUGGUAAUUCUAGAGCUAAUACAUGCUGUAAAGCCCGACUCAACGGAAGGGCCGUAUUUAUUAGAUAACAGACCAAUAUUCCUCGUGUCUAUUGUGGUGAAUCAUAGUAACUAAUCGGAUCGCAUGGGCUAGUCCCGCGACAAACCAUUCAAGUUUCUGCCCCAUCAGCUUUCGAUGGUAGUGUAUUGGACUACCAUGGCUUUUACGGGUAACGGAGGAUUAGGGUUCGAUUCCGGAGAGGGAGCCUGAGAAACGGCUACCACAUCUAAGGAAGGCAGCAGGCGCGUAAAUUACCCAAUCCUAAUUCAGGGAGGUAGUGACAAGAAAUAACGGGUCGGGGCUAUGCCCCGGGACUGCAAUGAGAUGAAUUUACACCCCUUUUCGAGUAAC